UUGACCUCGGAUCAUGUAGGGAUACCC
rnacentral:rRNA from 1 species